AUAGAGUCAAGUGAAUAAGUGCAUCAGGUGGAUGCCUUGGCGAUGAUAGGCGAAGAAGGACGUGUAAGCC
rnacentral:rRNA from 1 species